GUUCUUUAAUAUUUUAAAGUUUUCUUUCCUACUAAGUAAAAUAGAUAAUGCACAAGGGGGAAACUUAAAAUCAACUUCUCAUUUUGCACAGUGACAUUAACUAGCACUAUCUUAUCCUUCUGUGCACUCAUUGUCUGAACCUAAGCUUGCUAUCCCUGUUCAGCCAACAUACAGCAGAAAAAUAUGCUAGCAACUAGGCUCGAGCAGGAGAGACGAGAAAGAGCCAUCAUUUGUAAGCGAAGAGGUCUGAGCUUCUAUUUACUGUGUGACCUAGAUAAGUCACACUUAAUCUCUGAGAGGCUGCAUCUGCAAAAUGGAAAUGAAAAUCCGUGCUCUGUCCAUCUCAGAGGUUGGGGUGACAAUCAAACACAAGUGCUCAAGAGUAUUUUGAAUGCUCCAAAGUGCCCCGUGAAAGCAAAGUGUUAUGUGUCUGAUAAGGGAGGCAGAAAGCAUUCUCACUCUCUUGCAACAAAUCUUUGAUUGUGCACACUGGAUAUAUACAUCCUGAGAAUUAACUUGUGGGAGAACAGGAAUUUUGCAAGCAGAGAACAAUUGUGACGCAAAUGAUUAAUCUGGAUGAUAGCAAUUAACCUGUUGGCCAAUUAUGAAAGAGCAGGUGCUGCUCAUGUGAUCAUUGCCUCACUUCAGGCCAUGAAGGCUUCUAGAACACGUGGGCUCUGUGAGCUGCCAAACAGGAUCCAGAGCCAAGAAGGCACCUGUCAGAAAAGGUUGGCAAAGCAAGGGCAGUUUCGUCUCUUGCUGAGAAAGCUGCUCCUGCUGCUAUUUGCUCUCAUCACAGUUCAUAGGAGAACCUGGAGCUUCUGUGAUGCCUGCUGGCUCCUCCCUCCACUCCUGCUCUUUGUGUCUACAACCAGCCUUGAACCUCUCCUCACUCUCUCUCUCAAUGUUUUAUUACAGGGAAACUGACAGCCAGAGAAUAUCAAGAAGCCGAAGCUUCCCAGACCCCAACUCCUUGGCUUCCUGGCACCGGAAUCCACCAUCCACCUUGGAGGCAGACAACCAAGGACACCCACGCAGCCUCCUUCCUGCAAGCAGCCUUAGAGGCCAAAUGACAAGGCCAAACGCAGGCUGGUAGGAAAGUGCUGACCAGCAAGGCCGCAUGCUCCCUCUCCCCUAACUGAAACCUCAAAUAAAAACUCCUACCUUUGUUCCUUUGAGGCAGUGGAUCUGAGUUCUAACUAACUCCCAUCUCCUCAUCUGGCUACCUUUUGAUAAAACUCUUUUCUUGCCAUAAGCCUGGUGUUCCCAUUUUUCUUUUGGUCUGUCUCUUGUGUGGCAUGUAAAAGAAACUGUGUUUGUGGCCGGUAACAAAACUAACUUUGUCAUUCAAUUGCUUUCUGGAAAUAAAACCACUUAGAUAAAACCCAAGGGAAAAAAAAGCAUAACACAAACCCUUGACACACUUCUCAUAUUACUACUACAUGAAAGACUACAGAUUUCUUAAUGCUUUCCUCUUGAGUGUACAUAUUACUUUCAGAGAAAUAUUUUCAAAUAUUUAGUUAAUAUAGAGUACAUGCACUGUGCCAGGUACUGGGGAUACAAAGAUAAAUCCAUUCUU
ensembl:lncRNA